UGCUGGGUGAAGGUAAGGAGCUAAUGGAGGGCCUUUGAAGCAGAACAUUGAAUGGAAUAAGAGGGCUGACUACCUACAAACUGAGUUGAGUUUGAAAUUACUGUCGUCACAAAGUCUGUCACACAUUGGGACUGAGGUCAUAAUAAAGAGGUUGACUUAAAUUGCGAAGCAUUACUAUUUUCCCCAGGCUAUGAUUUUGGUUGUUGUCAUAUAAAUCCUCAUUUCUAAUAAAGAAAAAAGACAUUCCAUGUUCCAAUAGUACCAUACACAUGAAUAGUCAGUGAUUAAUUGGUUUCUGUCUAGAGUAAUGAAAGGUAAUUUUUCCAAAAUAUAAAUUCAGAAUUAUGCCUCCUAUCUGACUGUAUUCUUUUAUCAUCCGCUAAUCCACAGACAAAUGAAUUUAAAGGAGCAACCGAGACACUUACGAAUGAUAUCCCACACAGCAGUGAAUGUAAAGGAGCAGCCCUGGUGUCACCUAUCAGUAAAAGAAUAUUUGUAGUUUUCCUGGUCUUACUGCAUGUCACUCCUCACUUGCCGACCUAAUUUUCAAUGAUAGCAAACUUUAUAUUCCUUUGGUGUAUCGUUCUAUUUCUCUAGCUAUUGCCUUAUUUUUUCUCACAGAUGUUCUUCUUCGAGUAUUUGUCGAAGGG